GUCAGGAUAGCUCAGUUGGUAGAGCAGAGACUGAAAAUC
rnacentral:tRNA from 1 species